UUUUUAGUAUAAGUAUGCCCCAUGCUAUAUUUGGGAAUACUUAUACUAAAA
rfam:Nomascus leucogenys chromosome 19, whole genome shotgun sequence.